rnacentral:rRNA from 1 species
AGCGAACGCUGGCGGCAGGCCUAACACAUGCAAGUCGAGCGCCCCGCAAGGGGAGCGGCAGACGGGAGAGUAACACGUGGGAACGUACCCUUUGGUUCGGAACAACCCAGGGAAACUUGGGCUAAUACCGGAUAAGCCCUUACGGGGAAAGAUUUAUCGCCCAAGAAUAGGCCCGCGUCUGAUUAGCUAGUUGGGGGGGUAAGGGCCAACCAAGGCGACUAUCAGUAGCUGGUCUGAGAGGAUGAUCAGCCUCACUGGGACUGAGACACGGCCCAGACUCCUACGGGAGGCAGCAGUGGGGAAUAUUGGACAAUGGGCGCAAGCCUGAUCCAGCCAUGCCGCGUGGGUGAUGAAGGCCCUAGGGUUGUAAAGCCCUUUCGGCGGGGAAGAUAAUGACGGUACCCGCAGAAGAAGCCCCGGCUAACUUCGUGCCAGCCGCCGCGGUAA